UUCUACUGCUUUCCACCCUCUACUCUGCAAAAAAUAAUCUGUCUUGAUCUUACUGUCUUCUGCAUCAUCAAAAAUUACUGCAUUUGUGUGCAACAUACUGUCUGCAGAAAAAAAACCUAUGUGACCUUCUGAAAAACUGUCUGGCCAACGGGAUAUCAAAUAUGUGCAAAUUCAGGAAAAGAAAAAUAUUGUCUCCCAGGCUAUGGUUUGGGAACCAAGCUCUUAACAGUUCCAGGUUUUGUGAGUGCAUCUUAAUUCCAAAUAUUGGCCAGUAGCAGUGGAUUAGAUGCCAAACAC
rnacentral:lncRNA from 12 species